UGCAGCUCUGAGAGUAGAGUUUGGGGGGGGGUGGGAAAGGGUGCAUUAUGGCCUUUUGGGUAGGCAUUGCCAGGGUGUGGCUUGGGUUUGCAGGCUGAUGCUGGAUGGGAGCAGCUGUGUUUUUGGUGCCAGCGCUGCCCUGGAGAGAGAUCGAUAAUGAGUCCUGCAGAUUAUGUUACACGCCACAGCACCACUUCUAUGCCGGUAAGCUGCCACCGCAGCCCUUUCCCUGAGGCUUCACUCCCCAUCGAUGUGCUGUUAUCUUUGUGUGCCCAGCUUCAGUACAAAUCCUCACACCUAAUCAGGAAGCACUCCAUCCACAGAGGGAAGAGUGAAUUAGGUUCCGCAGUAGGUAAAAACUGGUGUGUGAUAAAUAAUAAAGAUGUGGGGAGAAGGGGAUGUUGUUGGAAAAGUGCGUUUGGCAGGUACCGCACCCCCCUGACUCCAAAUCUGAUCAUCUUCCUGUCCCCCGCAUGUGCUCACCCUGCAAAUCUCUUGUCCCUGUCUUGGCUGCCGGGACGAAGGAAAGUGGCCACGCUGUUUGACGCUGAUGAAUGUGGACGCUUGCUUCUCAGGCAGCGGCGCUCUUGCUCGCCGACGACUGCAAUCCUCGGGAGGAAAUGAACUUAAAUGAGCUGCUCUGCAUAACUACAAAGGACACAUCUGCGUUACUGUGAAGUCUGAAGAUGCAGAACUGCACAGCAAUAAGCUCUGCAGCUACCGCGCACGUUAUUACUGUAGAUCCUGGGUUCUCAACAGGGGGUCUGCAGAGGUGCCCUAGGGGGUCCCUGAUUGCACUCUCAAGCACAACCACCCCUCCCCCCACCACCACCAGUUUUUGCUCUUUAUUAAAUUUUUUCUUUUUUUUUUAACUAUAACCCUUUUAACUUAUUAUGGUGGGCCCCCUGAUGCCUUUAAGCCUGGGUGGGCAUCCCUGGAUCAAGGCUUGUUGAAAACUCCUUCUGUGGUUUAUAAAAUCAGAUGACAGUCAUUAUUGCUGUUACUAUCCACGUACUUUUAUUUCUUACUGUAGAUGUAUAUUUAAACAAAUUAUGUUCAAAAUCACCAUUUCCUCCGUAAGAGUGGCAAUUGGGUACAGUUCACAAUUGAAUAAUAAUAAUAAUAAUAAUAAUAAUAAUAAUAAUAAUAAUAAAUAAGCUGUCUAAAUUCAUUCAAGAUCAUUUUAAAUUCAAGAUAAUUGUUCCUUGUGUUGUUUCAUUGGAAAUUGCAGCUUGUUUUACUGAAAUUGCACUUUAAAUCCAAAGGAAAACACGAUAAUUUGUGUUGCAAGUAUACUGUUAGGGUGAGCAAUUAGUGUUCAGAAUCAGUAUAGUGCUACUGCAUCCUAUGUACCCACAGACCUGUGCUACAUUUAUUUUCUUUCUUCAGCUUUUCCAUCCCCUGUCUAGCUUGUCUAGCCUGUCACAAGAGGUUUCUGGCUGCCUGACAUUCCUCCUUGUGUCAGUGUGGUGGGGGAGAAUUAAGUGACUUUUCAACGGUGGCUCCUGUUUAAAAACAGACUGUCCAACCGCAGCUGCCGCACUGCAUGUGCAACCAAUCAGCAGACUCCCCGCCAAAAUCAGUCAUUUGUUUUUCUGUGUAAGCGCGCCAACGCUCAUGUACCUGGGGGCCUAAUCUACUGUGUUUUUCAGUCUCGUGAGUUGGAACGCCAAUAACAGCCUUCACUCUUCACCCAAAGCAAGGUCUGCAGCUCCGCCUCCUCCCGCCCUCCCCUCAGGCAGCACUUCCUGCUAAAACCGUCUGCUCACCAAUUGCUCACUUCCUCUUCACACAGGAGAGACAAUACUGGAUAUUGUGUGACAGCCAUGCAGACCAGUGUUGGUUUAUACUCCUGAGGGGUAUCGUUCUUAUCCUAAAUAAAUCCUGAGACCAGUGUUUGAAAUUCAGCAAUAUUUUAAAAGGAUAAAACAUGUUUCCCAUGUUUUAUUAUCUGCUAACUGGAUGCUAAUGGGCUGCUAGUGCACACCAUUGUUCAUUCACCCAGAUGGUUUUAUUUCCUAAAAUGGAAUGGAAAUUCAUAAUCAAUUUAUAAUCAUAAUCUAUAUGUGAUGAUAUAAUGCUGAAUACAAUUAUUUAGUCUUCAUGUGAAACAUUCUGAAAUUGCUUUCUUCAUCAGUACAAAGGAAUACCUUUCUUCAGCUCCUUCAGGGAGCUUGAUGAUGCAGCUAUUGUUGCGCUGAGAGCAGUUUUCUAGAUUGAUAAUCUUUAUUACAGACAAUUAAACUUUGGAGCACAGUAUUUUUCUGUUCCCUCUGGUCUCUCAAAAACAAUUUUCAAAAUUGGCUUUUGGACAUCUGCUUGGUGAGGUGAAUUCUAAGUGUGCUAUUAAUUGUGUCGUGGUUAACUUUACACCUAUUUUUGUCUUGCAUAACUAGGGCUAUUACUGCAUAGAUAUGGAGGACAUCUACCAUGAGGAGAGGACCGCGUCCAUUUUGAGUUCUCUUAGCGGAUCCAAAACACCGGUGCCAUCACAGGUAUUUACAGUGUUCCUGUCGUCAGAAGACCAGGUUACCAGCUGUGGGGUGGAUCACUGUGUGAGUGUCUUUCACCAAAGAGAAUCCACCUUUAGGGCUAAUACACAAGCCUUCAUGGGGGAUCCUGCUUGUACUUUACAGCAUUUCCAGCCAAUGAGGAAUGGCUCAAAACUGGUGUAUUUUUCUUUUUGUUGGAUAAUGUUGUAGUGAGUGUUCCUGCAGUAGUGUUCAUCAUCACACGCACGCGCGCACACACACACACACACACUCAAUUCCACAAUUCCGCAAUUUUAGACACACUGUAGAUUAACCAUCUGAUGGAAACUGCUUUAAAUGCAUGUAGCAUUUUUAAUCACCUAAUUGUGGAACUUUUUCAAACAACUGAAUUCUGUACUUUUAUUCCAUGUUGUUCAUUCAUUGAGAGAGAAAUAUAACAUAACCACAGCACUGUACAUUUGUCUGAACUGCUAUAAAAUGUUUUCUGUGCUAGACAGUGGAUGACGACAUGGACAUGUAUGGUUUGAUGACUUUGAUUCGAGGAAGUUCCAUAAUUUGACAAGUGACUCACUGGGGACACACAGUGGCUGCAGCAGGAACAGAGGACAGAAUAAAUUGGCUGUACAAGGUCUCCCCCUAGUGAGAGUACAUUGAAAGUUAGUAUGAAUAAUUGAAUGCGCCACCAUUUUAAUGAUGAAGCAUAAGAUUUGAGAACUCCCUUUGACCCUAGAACCUGAUGAUGUUAUGCAAUAAAUUGAUUAAAUGAGUAUCAAUGCAUCCUGUCUGUCAGGCAGGCAAUGUCAAGGGAAACCCCAUGUUGGCAGUCCUCAUACUCAUUCAAUUCUGUACCUUACAAAAAAUUGGUUAAUACAGCUAUAGGCACUAUGUUUGACAUUCAGGGCAGGCCAUACCAAAAUAGAGCGGAAGACCAAUGUCACUGCUGACAUUGUAGCUUGGUUUAAUUAUUGCUUGAUCUAGUGUCUCUACACAGUACCUCACAAAUAAGAUCUGAAAAUCUUUAAUAUGUGAUGUCGCCAUUAUGCUCACAAGGAGAGAGUGUUCAUUUAUCUGUAACUUUAAAAAUAUGUGUUGCAUUGCAGAUUCAACUGAACCAAUACUUAUACAAGGGAAGAAAUCAGUAUUCCCUUAAUCCUCCCUGGUCAUUAUGCACAGCUCAGGAGAAGAAAGGGUGUGCACCCCCCUCCCCCCUCCUCUCAUUCACUAAAUAAAAUAUACUUGGUAAGAAGUCAAGUAUAUUUUUGCAUCUAGGUCUGGAAUUCUGCAUUUUAUCUAAGGCUUUUUUUUCUAAGAAAUAUUCUGCAGUCUUUUGGUUUUUGAAUAUCAGCCUUGGCACAUCUUUGGUUUAUUUUCGGACAAACAUGCUGUGGUUUGGUUAUUUUCUUUCAUUCAUUCCUGGUGUGACUGUAACCUGUCCAUGUCUAUAACAUUUGUUAAUUGUUUUAAGGUAGUUGAACCUCGUCUUUACAUUAGACGUGAAUAUUUGCUGUAACGUUAUAAAUGUAUUAAUUUUAUUCUG